GAAUAGUGCAUUGGAAACUGGGAGACUUGAGUGCAGAAGAGGGGAGUGGAACUCCAUGUGUAGCGGUGAAAUGCGUAGAUAUAUGGAAGAACACCAGUGGCGGAAGCGGCUCUCUGGUCUGUAGCUGACGCUGAGGUUCGAAAGCGUGGGUAGCAAACAGA
rnacentral:rRNA from 1 species